GAUGAACGCUAGCUACAGGCUUAACACAUGCAAGUCGAGGGGCAGCAUGAGGUCAGCUUGCUGACUUUGAUGGCGACCGGCGCACGGGUGAGUAACGCGUAUCCAACCUGCCCAUAACUAAGGGAUAAUCCGUAGAAAUGCGGUCUAAUACCUUAUGUUGUCCGAGGAAGACAUCUGAUUCGGACGAAAGAUUUAUCGGUUAUGGAUGGGGAUGCGUCUGAUUAGCUUGUUGGCGGGGUAACGGCCCACCAAGGCGACGAUCAGUAGGGGUUCUGAGAGGAAGGUCCCCCACAUUGGAACUGAGACACGGUCCAAACUCCUACGGGAGGCAGCAGUGAGGAAUAUUGGUCAAUGGACGAGAGUCUGAACCAGCCAAGUAGCGUGCAGGAUGACGGCCCUAUGGGUUGUAAACUGCUUUUAUACGGGGAUAAAAGAUGUCACGUGUGACAUUUUGCAGGUACCGUAUGAAUAAGGACCGGCUAAUUCCGUGCCAGCAGCCGCGGUAAUACGGAAGGUCCGGGCGUUAUCCGGAUUUAUUGGGUUUAAAGGGAGCGUAGGCUGCCGGUUAAGUGUGUUGUGAAAUGCAGGCGCUCAACGUCUGCCUUGCAGCGCAUACUGUCCGGCUUGAGUACGCACAACGUUGGCGGAAUUCGUCGUGUAGCGGUGAAAUGCUUAGAUAUGACGAAGAACUCCGAUUGCGAAGGCAGCUGACGGGAGCGUUACUGACGCUGAAGCUCGAAAGUGCGGGUAUCGAACAGGAUUAGAUACCCUGGUAGUCCGCACGGUAAACGAUGGAUGCCCGCUGUUUGUCCUCAAGGAUAAGCGGCCAAGCGAAAGCAUUAAGCAUCCCACCUGGGGAGUACGCCGGCAACGGUGAAACUCAAAGGAAUUGACGGGGGCCCGCACAAGCGGAGGAACAUGUGGUUUAAUUCGAUGAUACGCGAGGAACCUUACCCGGGCUUGAAUUGCAGGAGAACGAUCCAGAGAUGGUGAGGUCCUUCGGGACUCCUGUGAAGGUGCUGCAUGGUUGUCGUCAGCUCGUGCCGUGAGGUGUCGGCUUAAGUGCCAUAACGAGCGCAACCCCUCUCUUCAGUUGCCAUCAGGUAAUGCUGGGCACUCUGGAGACACUGCCACCGCAAGGUGUGAGGAAGGUGGGGAUGACGUCAAAUCAGCACGGCCCUUACGUCCGGGGCUACACACGUGUUACAAUGGUGGGUACAGAGUGUCGGGGGUAUGCAAAUGCCCUCCAAUCAUGAAAACCCUCCUCAGUUCGGACUGGGGUCUGCAACCCGACCCCACGAAGCUGGAUUCGCUAGUAAUCGCGCAUCAGCCAUGGCGCGGUGAAUACGUUCCCGGGCCUUGUACACACCGCCCGUCAAGCCAUGAAAGCCGGGGGUGCCUGAAGUCCGUGACCGCAAGGAUCGGCCUAGGGCAAAACUGGUAAUUGGGGCU
rnacentral:rRNA from 1 species